AAGACUGUUGAUUUAAUCAUCGAGUCAUUCUCGCGAAGGCGGGAAUCUCCCAAGUAUUUAAGAGAUCCCCGUGUCAAGCACGAGGAUUGUAAGUUAAAUCUCCAGUAUAAUUUCA
rnacentral:ncRNA from 17 species